CUUGUGUGCGCAUAGGACCUACAGCAUGCCAGACACUACACACUGGCCCAUGGUGAGAUAUAGCCGACAAUGUCCUUCUUUAUUCUAGGUCACCAAUAUUGAUGCUUCAGGUCCUGGUACAUCUUAGCACCCCCGGAGUGGAUAGACAGUUUGGAGGCAUAGACAACCUUGAGAACAUCCGUUCUGAUAGCGAUAGGGACCCAAAUACGGUUCAGAAAUCUGCACAACCCAUCAUCAGUGAGCCUGAAAUCAAGAAACUCAUCAGAAGUAAAUUUACUCAAAUUGAUUUCUUGAUCUAUGGACUGAGCUUUCCAAUCUUCAUAAAAAGAUCUGGUAAAGCUCAGAUUUGAGCGAGAUAGGCACCGUUGCCAUAGUAGUUGAAGUGAAGUGCCUACAUAACAUCAACUAAUUUCCAACUAGAGGCCAUAGUUUGGGUCAACACAGUGGACUCCUUUUGGCUCAGUGUAUCAGCGACCACAUUUUCUCUACCGGAAUGGUAGAUGAUAUUGCAAUCAUAAUCCUUC
rnacentral:lncRNA from 1 species